AUUGAACGCUGGCGGCAUGCCUUACACAUGCAAGUCGAACGGCAGCGCGGGGCAACCUGGCGGCGAGUGGCGAACGGGUGAGUAAUAUAUCGGAACGUACCCUGGAGUGGGGGAUAACGUAGCGAAAGUUACGCUAAUACCGCAUACGAUCUAAGGAUGAAAGUGGGGGAUUCGCAAGAACCUCAUGCUCCUGGAGCGGCCGAUAUCUGAUUAGCUAGUUGGUGGGGUAAAGGCCUACCAAGGCAUCGACCAGUAGCUGGUCUGAGAGGACGACCAGCCACACUGGAACUGAGACACGGUCCAGACUCCUACGGGAGGCAGCAGUGGGGAAUUUUGGACAAUGGGCGAAAGCCUGAUCCAGCAAUGCCGCGUGAGUGAAGAAGGCCUUCGGGUUGUAAAGCUCUUUUGUCAGGGAAGAAACGGUGAGGGCUAAUAUCCUUUGCUAAUGACGGUACCUGAAGAAUAAGCACCGGCUAACUACGUGCCAGCAGCCGCGGUAAUACGUAGGGUGCAAGCGUUAAUCGGAAUUACUGGGCGUAAAGCGUGCGCAGGCGGUUUUGUAAGUCUGUCGUGAAAUCCCCGGGCUCAACCUGGGAAUUGCGAUGGAGACUGCAAGGCUAGAAUCUGGCAGAGGGGGGUAGAAUUCCACGUGUAGCAGUGAAAUGCGUAGAGAUGUGGAGGAACACCGAUGGCGAAGGCAGCCCCCUGGGUCAAGAUUGACGCUCAUGCACGAAAGCGUGGGGAGCAAACAGGAUUAGAUACCCUGGUAGUCCACGCCCUAAACGAUGUCUACUAGUUGUCGGGUUUUAAUUAACUUGGUAACGCAGCUAACGCGUGAAGUAGACCGCCUGGGGAGUACGGUCGCAAGAUUAAAACUCAAAGGAAUUGACGGGGACCCGCACAAGCGGUGGAUGAUGUGGAUUAAUUCGAUGCAACGCGAAAAACCUUACCUACCCUUGACAUGUACGGAAGUCCGGAGAGAUCUGGAUGUGCUCGAAAGAGAGCCGUAACACAGGUGCUGCAUGGCUGUCGUCAGCUCGUGUCGUGAGAUGUUGGGUUAAGUCCCGCAACGAGCGCAACCCUUGUCAUUAGUUGCUACGAAAGGGCACUCUAAUGAGACUGCCGGUGACAAACCGGAGGAAGGUGGGGAUGACGUCAAGUCCUCAUGGCCCUUAUGGGUAGGGCUUCACACGUCAUACAAUGGUACAUACAGAGGGCCGCCAACCCGCGAGGGGGAGCUAAUCCCAGAAAGUGUAUCGUAGUCCGGAUUGUAGUCUGCAACUCGACUACAUGAAGUUGGAAUCGCUAGUAAUCGCGGAUCAGCAUGUCGCGGUGAAUACGUUCCCGGGUCU
rnacentral:rRNA from 1 species